rnacentral:rRNA from 1 species
AGUGAACGCUGGCGGUAGGCCUAACACAUGCAAGUCGAACGGCAGCACAGCAAGAGCUUGCUCUUACGGGUGGCGAGUGGCGGACGGGUGAGGAAUACAUCGGAAUCUACUUUUUCGUAGGGGAUAACGUAGGGAAACUUACGCUAAUACCGCAUACGACCUACGGGUGAAAGCAGGGGAUCUUCGGACCUUGCGCGAUUGAAUGAGCCGAUGUCGGAUUAGCUAGUUGGCGGGGUAAAGGCCCACCAAGGCGACGAUCCGUAGCUGGUCUGAGAGGAUGAUCAGCCACACUGGAACUGAGACACGGUCCAGACUCCUACGGGAGGCAGCAGUGGGGAAUAUUGGACAAUGGGCGCAAGCCUGAUCCAGCCAUACCGCGUGGGUGAAGAAGGCCUUCGGGUUGUAAAGCCCUUUUGUUGGGAAAGAAAAGCAGCAGGUUAAUACCCCGCUGUUCUGACGGUACCCAAAGAAUAAGCACCGGCUAACUUCGUG